rfam:Octopus bimaculoides Scaffold4652_contig_350, whole genome shotgun sequence.
AGCAGAGUGGCGCAGUGGAAGCGUGCUGGGCCCACAACCAAGAUUUCCUUAGAUCGAAGCUACGCUCUGCUA